AGUGAACGCUGGCGGUAGGCCUAACACAUGCAAGUCGAACGGCAGCACAGUAAGAGCUUGCUCUUACGGGUGGCGAGUGGCGGACGGGUGAGGAAUACAUCGGAAUCUACUUUUUCGUGGGGGAUAACGUAGGGAAACUUACGCUAAUACCGCAUACGACCUACGGGUGAAAGCAGUGGAUCUUCGGACCUUGCGCGAUUGAAUGAGCCGAUGUCGGAUUAGCUAGUUGGCGGGGUAAAGGCCCACCAAGGCGACGAUCCGUAGCUGGUCUGAGAGGAUGAUCAGCCACACUGGAACUGAGACACGGUCCAGACUCCUACGGGAGGCAGCAGUGGGGAAUAUUGGACAAUGGGCGCAAGCCUGAUCCAGCAAUACCGCGUGGGUGAAGAAGGCCUUCGGGUUGUAAAGCCCUUUUGUUGGGAAAGAAAAGAAGCAGGUUAAUACCCCGCUGUUCUGACGGUACCCAAAGAAUAAGCACCGGCUAACUUCGUG
rnacentral:rRNA from 1 species